UUUCUUUCUUUCUUUCUUUCUUUUUAAGAAAAAACAGCAACAUUUCUAAAACCCAUACUCAAUGCAGUGGUUUUUGUUUUACUUUUUAUUAUUUAAAUACACCAUACUAGAGCAAAUGUCUCUGAAAAUAUCACAAAUAAAAGAUUUUUCUUCAUUCAGCAAAUUAGAAGUAGGUGAAAAUUUCUACACAGUAGCUGCUAUGAGCCUGACUUUUUUUUUUUCCUUUUUCUCCUUUUUUUUUUUUUUUGCCAUGGGAAGUAGCAACAUUAGGACAAAAACACUUACAUGCAUACAUACAUUGUAUUUUACAGAGAUACAAUAAAAGUAUUUGUGAUAGAAUAUCACAAAAGCCACAUCUUUCCUUUAUCUCAUGUUCAGUUUGAUUGAAACACAUUUCCUUACAACACUUAAAUAUACAAAGAGCAAAUAGAAUGUUGUUAAGGUAAAACACAGGGUACAAACUGGCCAGUGCCCUGCUAAUUGUUAAUGAGGGUAGAAAGCAGAUUUCAAUGCUUCUUUUAAUUAGCUUCAUUAGUCAUCUUCCCCACCCGCCCCCCCCAAAGAUGUCCUCCGGUGGAUCUUUUUUCAUUUUCUCUACAGUCUCCCAUUAGCCCAGGUUCAUGGAGUCCUUAAUGUUCAUAUUCAGUCAUUUUAAUACACCAAUAAAUGUGGGAAGGGCAAUCAAGAAUAAAGAAGGUGCAAUGGUAUGGAGCUGGCACUGAUGCUAGCUACAAAGGUGACUUGUCUACUUGGAGACAUGGGAUCCAUCUGUGAUGAACAAAAUUUGAGAUGAAGGCACGCAUUCUGCAAUACUCUGACCUUUUAGCAGACCUUCUGGUCUGGCAGUAGUGGGUUACUCUGAAGUGAAUUCAAAUGGCCAUUGAUGAGAGCUGUAGGUCUAUCAUGUUCACAAAAUAAACUGCCAUUGAUGUAGUGAAACCGAUCUCCCGGGACCAGGCGAUUCCGGCAGGUAGAGCAUGUAAAACACUUCAGAUGAUAGACAUUGCCCUGUGCCCUCAUGACCAGCUCACUAGCAGGAAUGGACUGUCCGCAGGCACUGCAAGCACCACUAUUUCCAAAUAACCUGAUAUAGUCGUUUCUGCAGAGGAUCAUGCCGCUCUUGGUGUAGCAGGACGUGCCGAUGUCCCCCAGCUGGGCCUGGCAGCAGGAGCACUUGAGGCAGCGGCUGUGCCAGUAGCUGUCCAUGGCGUAGAGCAGGAAGCGGUCGGCGAUCUUCCCCCCGCAGCCGGCGCACCUCUUCCACGAGAGGGAGCCCGCCGUCACCGGGGGCGGCUGCGCGCUGCCGCCGGGGUUCACCAUGGCCUGCUGCUUCCCCUCGGUGGUCUGCGGGGCCGGGCAGCGCCGCUCGGGGGCACCGCGGAGGUUUCCUCGCCGCGAACCGAGCGCGGCGCCCGCCGCCCGCCCGCCCUUCGGCAGCCCCCGGUCCGGGCCGGACAAACGCGGAGACGGCGCUGAUGGGCGCCCGCCGCCCUCCGGCCCCGCGGAGCCGCACGCGCAGGGGCCGCCGCCGCCGCCGCAAGUUUGGCGCCGCGGCCGCACUUCGCGCCGCUCCCCCCGCCCCCACCUCCGCCCCUCCGCCGGGCUCCGGCGGCGGCCGAGCUCCCGCGGCGCGGAGCCGAGCGGCCGCGGCCCGCCGAGCGCUGCGAGCGGAGGACCGGAGAGCGGGGCGGAGGCGGCGGCGCCGCGGCGCGGAGAGCGGAGCGGGCCCGGGGGCGCGUGUGUCCCUGCGCGGCGCGAGCGGGCCCGCGUGCUGCGCGGCCGCUGCCCCUCAC
rnacentral:lncRNA from 1 species